rnacentral:rRNA from 1 species
AUGUGUAGAAAAAAAUGCCUUGUCUACCACAUAUCUACAGCUAAAGACAGGCCAAUGGAACUAGACAAAUUCCUGAUGAAUGAUGAGUACACCUUCGUCGAAUUCGCUAUUGAAGGAGACAAAAGCAAGCUAAAGGUAUAUGGUUUGGAGAUCAACUCCAACAACUACAUUGAUAUUCAGGUGGAAUGGAGAGACCCAUACAAUAAAAAGAAGUUUGACUCUUUGGCUGAUGUUGCUGGCAGGAUGAUAGACAUUCACUACAAUGACAUGAAGAAAAAAUUAACCGCAAGGAGGACCAUACUCUGUGGGGAUUUUGCCCGCUGCCAAACAAGCUUAUCAAGUAUGCAACAAUAG